rnacentral:tRNA from 1 species
GGGAAUAUAGCUCAGCUAGUAGAAUGCUUGCCUUGCAUGCAGAAGGCCCUGGCUUCAAUCCCCAGUAUCACCA